UUUCUCAUCCAUUUUUUUUUUUUUAAACCUAAGAGUUACUUCUCUGAUCUGUAAAAAUGAAGAUGAUAAAACACACUCUAACUUUUGUGAGGAUGAAGGAAGGCGAUGGCUGUGGGAGUGUUUGUAAACCAUGAAGAACUCCACGUAAAGGACCGACUCGGGUUCGAGGCCCAGAACCUCCUUUUCUCCGCCUGGUUCCGAGGCGGAUGAUGGCUCCGGCACAGCUUCUGACAUAGCACCUCAAGUACAGCGUCUCUCAGUCCGAGACCCGGGAACCGGACACCCAACAUACACUGGUGGGACAGGCCCAGAAACACUGCUGUAUGAGAGAAUGACUCUCAUCCGUAACAAGGAACCAACUUCUAGAAACACGUACCCAGAAAUCUCACCGACUGGGCUUCACAUGAAGCCACUGAGACAAGAAAGUCAAGAUUCUUAGAAGUCCUAACGAUUAAUGGAGAGGAUCUGUGAGGCAUGACCUUAAGAUCCUUCUUCUUCUCUUUUUUUUUUUUUUUUUUUUGAGAGAGAGAAUGAGAGAGUGCUCGCGCGUGUGCACGUGUGCGUGG